rnacentral:rRNA from 1 species
AUGCACGCUGGCGGCGUGCCUAAUACAUGCAAGUCGAGCGAACAGAUAAGGAGCUUGCUCCUUUGACGUUAGCGGCGGACGGGUGAGUAACACGUGGGUAACCUAUCUAUAAGACUGGAAUAACUCCGGGAAACCGGGGCUAAUGCCGGAUAACAUGUUGAACCGCAUGGUUCUACAGUGAAAGGCGGCUUUGCUGUCACUUAUAGAUGGACCCGCGCCGUAUUAGCUAGUUGGUGAGGUAACGGCUCACCAAGGCAACGAUACGUAGCCGACCUGAGAGGGUGAUCGGCCACACUGGAACUGAGACACGGUCCAGACUCCUACGGGAGGUAGCAGUAGGGAAUCUUCCGCAAUGGGCGAAAGCCUGACGGAGCAACGCCGCGUGAGUGAUGAAGGUCUUCGGAUCGUAAAACUCUGUUAUUAGGGAAGAACAAAUGCGUAAGUAACUGUGCGCGUCUUGACGGUACCUAAUCAGAAAGCCACGGCUAACUACGUG